GAUGAACGCUGGCGGCGUGCCUUAUACAUGCAAGUCGAGCGAACAGAUGAGGAUCUUGCUCCUCUGACGUUACCGGCGGACGGGUGAUUAACACGUGGAUAACCUACCUAUAAGACUGGGCUAACUUCGGGCAACCUGAUCUCAUAUCGGAUAAUAUAUUGAACCGCAUGGUUCAAUAGUCCACGCCGGUUUUGCUGUCCCUUUUAGAUGUAUCCUCGCCGCAUUAGCUAGUUGGUAAGGUAACGGCUUACCAAGGCAACGAUGCGUAGCCGACCUGAGAGGGUGAUCGGCCACACUGGAACUGAGACACGGCCCAGACUCCUACGGGAGGCAGCAGUAGGGAAUCUUCCGCAAUGGGCGAAAGCCUGACGGAGCAACGCCGCGUGAGGGAUGAAGGUCUUCGGAUCGUAAAACGCUGUUAUUAGGGAAGAACAAAUGUGUAAGUAACUAUGCACGGCUUGACGGUACCUAAUCAGAAAGCAACGGCUAACUACGUG
rnacentral:rRNA from 1 species